GAAUACACAAAGUAUAUAAAGUGUUGGGGUGUUCAUAGAUACUUGUACCUAGGUACGUACCGAGGUACACUAUUUUCUUACCUUUUACCUUACCUAAUUCAUAGAUGGCGGCACUGAUCUUCGCGUAAACAAUCAAGUGCUUCUGGCUCUGGGGGAAUUCCGUAGAACCGGGGGCAGCCAGCGGCAGAGUGUGGCCCACCACAUCGCCCACGCCCACUCCGUGUCUCAGGGCACGCACACGAGCACAGAAACAUCUAGGGAUAGUGCUGAUCGCUAUAUAUGACGCCAUUAAAUUCGGACAAACAAUGGAAAUGCAUAAUAUACUAUAGAAGGUGAUUUAAACAAAUAACCGAAAUGUUUUCGUACAGGUUGUUAUAUAAAAUAUGCUAUCAAAUAAUUGACAAAGCUUCGACACUGGCGAUGAUAAAAAGUUUUCU